rnacentral:rRNA from 1 species
CGGGUUGUAAACCUCUUUCAGUAGGGAAGAAGCGAAAGUGACGGUACCUGCAGAAGAAGCGCCGGCUAACUACGUGCCAGCAGCCGCGGUAAUACGUAGGGCGCAAGCGUUAUCCGGAAUUAUUGGGCGUAAAGAGCUCGUAGGCGGUUUGUCGCGUCUGCCGUGAAAGUCCGGGGCUCAACUCCGGAUCUGCGGUGGGUACGGGCAGACUAGAGUGAUGUAGGGGAGACUGGAAUUCCUGGUGUAGCGGUGAAAUGCGCAGAUAUCAGGAGGAACACCGAUGGCGAAGGCAGGUCUCUGGGCAUUAACUGACGCUGAGGAGCGAAAGCAUGGGGAGCGAACAGGAUUAGAUACCCUGGUAGUCCAUGCCGUAAACGUUGGGCACUAGGUGUGGGGGACAUUCCACGUUUUCCGCGCCGUAGCUAACGCAUUAAGUGCCCCGCCUGGGGAGUACGGCCGCAAGGCUAAAACUCAAAGGAAUUGACGGGGGCCCGCACAAGCGGCGGAGCAUGCGGAUUAAUUCGAUGCAACGCGAAGAACCUUACCAAGGCUUGACAUGGACCGGACCGCCGCAGAAAUGUGGUUUCCCCUUUGGGGCCGGUUCACAGGUGGUGCAUGGUUGUCGUCAGCUCGUGUCGUGAGAUGUUGGGUUAAGUCCCGCAACGAGCGCAACCCUCGUUCCAUGUUGCCAGCGCGUAAUGGCGGGGACUCAUGGGAGACUGCCGGGGUCAACUCGGAGGAAGGUGGGGACGACGUCAAAUCAUCAUGCCCCUUAUGUCUUGGGCUUCACGCAUGCUACAAUGGCCGGUACAAAGGGUUGCGAUACUGUGAGGUGGAGCUAAUCCCAAAAAGCCGGUCUCAGUUCGGAUUGGGGUCUGCAACUCGACCCCAUGAAGUCGGAGUCGCUAGUAAUCGCAGAUCAGCAACGCUGCGGUGAAUACGUUCCCGGGCCUUGUACACACCGCCCGUCAAGUCACGAAAGUUGGUAACACCCGAAGCCGGUGGCCU